AUACGGAGGGUGCGAGCGUUACUCGGAGUCACUGGGCGUAAAGCGUCCGUAGGCGGUCGGGUAAGUCGGGUGUGAAAGCCCCGGGCUCAACCUGGGAAGUGCACCCGAUACUGCUCGACUCGAGUGCGGGAGAGGAUGGCGGAAUUCCCGGUGUAGCGGUGAAAUGCGUAGAGAUCGGGAGGAACACCAGUGGCGAAGGCGGCCAUCUGGCCCGCAACUGACGCUGAGGGACGAAAGCGUGGGGAGCAAACAGGAUUAGAAAUCCUAGUAGUCC
rnacentral:rRNA from 1 species